CCUACGGGAGGCAGCAGUGAGGAAUAUUGGUCAAUGGGCUUACGCCUGAACCAGCCAAGUCGCGUGAGGGAAGACUGCCCUAUGGGUUGUAAACCUCUUUUGUCAGGGAGCAAUUGGCGCUACGUGUAGCGUUAUCGAGAGUACCUGAAGAAAAAGCAUCGGCUAACUCCGUGCCAGCAGCCGCGGUAAUACGGAGGAUGCGAGCGUUAUCCGGAUUGAUUGGGUUUAAAGGGUGCGUAGGCGGAAUGCCAAGUCAGCGGUAAAAUCGCGGGGCUCAACCUCGCUCCGCCGUUGAAACUGGCGUUCUUGAGUGGGCGAGAAGUAUGCGGAAUGCGUGGUGUAGCGGUGAAAUGCAUAGAUAUCACGCAGAACUCCGAUUGCGAAGGCAGCAUACCGGCGCCCAACUGACGCCGAGGCACGAAAGCGUGGGUAUCGAACAGGAUUAGAUACCCUUGUAGUC
rnacentral:rRNA from 1 species